rnacentral:rRNA from 1 species
GACGAGCCACCCAAACGUUAUUCGGAAUCACUGGGCUUAAAGCGUGCGUAGGCGGCCUGCAAAGUUGGGUGUGAAAUCCCUCGGCCUAACCGAGGAAUUGCGCCCAAAACUAGUAGGCUAGAGGGAGAUAGAGGUAAGCGGAACUGAUGGUGGAGCGGUGAAAUGUGUUGAUAUCAUCAGGAACACCGGUGGCGAAGGCGGCUUACUGGGUCUUUACUGACGCUGAGGCACGAAAGCCAGGGUAGCGAAC